rnacentral:lncRNA from 1 species
AGUGGAAAUGCUACUUGUAAAACCAUCCUUAGCUCCAGGAUCGUAGAGCUAUCACUGAGACAAUUGCGCAGUGAGUGACAAGAGAGAUAAGCGGAGAAUGUGAGCCAUCUAUGAGACAGAGGACAACUUCAAUAAAAAACACCAGGUCAGCGGAUAAGACCAUGUCACUCACAGGUUUGUGACUUGAGGCCUGAGCACCAAUGAUCCACUCCACAUCAGUGGAGAAUGUUGGAAAGUAAGGACGCUGUGGACAUUUUCUGAAGUUGGAGAAAUGGAAUGGUGGAGAAGCCAGUAUUGGGGUACCAUGAGUGGAGCAGAGUUGACUACAAAUCUCAAUAAAGCUUUUCAACUGUA